AUCGCUUCUCGGCCUUUUGGCUAAGAUCAAGUGUAGUAUCUGUUCUUAUCAGUUUAAUAUCUGAUACGUCCCCUACCCGGGGACCAUAUAUUAAAUAGAUUUUUGGAACAGGGAGAUGGAAUAGGGGCUUGCUCCGUCCACUCCACGCAUCGACCUGGUAUUGCAGUAUCUCCAGGAACGGUGCACUCUCU
rnacentral:snRNA from 1 species